CCUACGGGUGGCAGCAGUGAGGAAUAUUGGUCAAUGGACGAGAGUCUGAACCAGCCAAGUAGCGUGAAGGAUGACUGCCCUAUGGGUUGUAAACUUCUUUUAUAAAGGAAUAAAACGAGGCACGUGUGCGUUUUUGCAUGUCCUUUAUGACUAAGGAUCGUCUAACUCCGUGCCAGCAGCAGCGGUUAUACGGAGGAUCCGAGCGUUAUCCGGAUUUAUGGGGUUUAAAGGGAGCGUAGGUGGGUUGUUAAGUCAGUUGUGAAAGUUUGCGGCUCAACCGUAAAAUUGCAAUUGAUACUGGCAGUCGUGAGUACAGUUGAGGUAGGCGGAAUUCGGGGUGUAGCGUUGAAAUGCUUAGAUAUCACGAAGAACCCCGAUUGCGAAGGCAGCUUACUAAACUGUGACUGACAUUGAUGCUCGAAAGUGUGGGUAUCAAACAGGAUUAGAUACCCGUGUAGUA
rnacentral:rRNA from 1 species